UACGGGGGGGGCAAGCGUUGUUCGGAAUUACUGGGCGUAAAGGGCUCGUAGGCGGUUUGUCGCGUCGGGCGUGAAAACCCAGGGCUUAACUCUGGGCUUGCUUUCGAUACGGGCAUGACUGGAGUUCGGCAGGGGAGACUGGAAUUCCUGGUGUAGCGGUGAAAUGCGCAGAUAUCAGGAGGAACACCGGUGGCGAAGGCGGGUCUCUGGGCCGAUACUGACGCUGAGGAGCGAAAGCGUGGGGAGCGAACAGG
rnacentral:rRNA from 1 species